rnacentral:snRNA from 1 species
GUGCUCGCUUCGGCAGCACAUAUACUAAAAUUGGAACGAUACUGAGAAGAUUAGCAUGGCCCCUGCGCAAAAAUGACAUGCAAGAAGAAAAAAGAAAAGGGAAAAAAA